rnacentral:rRNA from 1 species
GCGGCGUGCUUAACACAUGCAAGUCGAACGGGAUCCAUCAAGCUUGCUUGGUGGUGAGAGUGGCGAACGGGUGAGUAAUGCGUGACCAACCUGCCCUGUACUCUGGAAUAGCUCCUGGAAACGGGUGGUAAUGCCGGAUGCUCCACAUGGGUGCAUGCCUGUGUGGGAAAGGGUUUACCGGUAUGGGAUGGGGUCGCGUCCUAUCAGCUUGACGGCGGGGUAAUGGCCCACCGUGGCUUUGACGGGUAGCCGGCCUGAGAGGGCGACCGGCCACAUUGGGACUGAGAUACGGCCCAGACUCCUACGGGAGGCAGCAGUGGGGAAUAUUGCACAAUGGGGGGAACCCUGAUGCAGCGACGCCGCGUGCGGGAUGACGGCCUUCGGGUUGUAAACCGCUUUUGAUUGGGAGCAAGCGUUAAGUGAGUGUACCUUUCGAAUAAGCGCCGGCUAACUACGUGCCAGCAGCCGCGGUAAUACGUAGGGCGCAAGCGUUGUCCGGAAUUAUUGGGCGUAAAGGGCUCGUAGGCGGCUCGUCGCGUCUGGUGUGAAAGUCCAUCGCUUAACGGUGGAUCUGCGCCGGGUACGGGCGGGCUGGAGUGCGGUAGGGGAGACUGGAAUUCCCGGUGUAACGGUGGAAUGUGUAGAUAUCGGGAGGAACACCAAUGGCGAAGGCAGGUCUCUGGGCCGUUACUGACGCUGAGGAGCGAAAGCGUGGGGAGCGAACAGGAUUAGAUACCCUGGUAGUCCACGCCGUAAACGGUGGACGCUGGAUGUGGGGCCCAUUCCACGGGUUCCGUGUCGGAGCUAACGCGUUAAGCGUCCCGCCUGGGGAGUACGGCCGCAAGGCUAAAACUCAAAGAAAUUGACGGGGGCCUGCACAAGCGGCGGAGCAUGCGGAUUAAUUCGAUGCAACGCGAAGAACCUUACCUGGGCUUGACAUGUUCCCGGCGACAUCAGAGAUGGUGUUUCCCUUCGGGGCGGGUUCACAGGUGGUGCAUGGUCGUCGUCAGCUCGUGUCGUGAGAUGUUGGGUUAAGUCCCGCAACGAGCGCAACCCUCGCCCCGUGUUGCCAGCACGUCUUGGUGGGAACUCACGGGGGACCGCCGGGGUUAACUCGGAGGAAGGUGGGG